rnacentral:rRNA from 1 species
GAUGAACGCUGGCGGCGUGCCUAAUACAUGCAAGUCGAGCGAACAGAUGAGGAGCUUGCUCCUCUGACGUUAGCGGCGGACGGGUGAGUAACACGUGGAUAACCUACCUAUAAGACUGGGAUAACUUCGGGAAACCGGAGCUAAUACCGGAUAAUAUAUUGAACCGCAUGGUUCAAUAGUGAAAGACGGUUUUGCUGUCACUUAUAGAUGGAUCCGCGCCGCAUUAGCUAGUUGGUAAGGUAACGGCUUACCAAGGCAACGAUGCGUAGCCGACCGGAGAGGGGGAUCGGCCACACGGGAACUGAGACACGGUCCAGAGGCCUACGGGAGGCAGCAGUAGGGAAUCUUCGGCAAUGGGCGAAAGCCUGACGGAGCAACGCCGCGUGAGUGAUGAAGGUCUUCGGAUCGUAAAACUCUGUUAUUAGGGAAGAACAAAUGUGUAAGUAACUAUGCACGUCUUGACGGUACCUAAUCAGAAAGCCACGGCUAACUACGUG